rnacentral:rRNA from 1 species
CUUGGUCAUUUAGAGGAAGUAAAAGUCGUAACAAGGUAUCUGUAGGUGAACCUGCAGAUGGAUCAUUUCGAUGAAAACCUUUUUCUUGAGGUGUGGCUCGCACCUGUCUAAAUAAACUUGAGCUACCCAAUUUCAACACGGUUGCAUCGGUUGGCUGUCAGACAGCGCGGACAGAGAUUUUUUUUUUUUUUUUUUCUCUGCUCGCUGCUGGGAAGGCGUUCGACACAAUACACAAACACUUUUGAUGAUCUAGGAUUUGAAUGAAAGUUCAUUUUUAUGAUGGAACCGACUGGUAAUGCGGUCGUCUAAAUCUAAAAAACAACUUUUGGCAACGGAUCUCUUGGUUCUCCCAUCGAUGAAGAACGCAGCGAAUUGCGAUAAGUAAUGUGAAUUGCAGAAGUGAAUCAUCGAAUCUUUGAACGCACCUUGCGCUCCCGGCAGAUCUAAUCUGGGGAGCAUGCCUGUUUGAGGGCCGCGAAUUGUUUCGAACGACAGCUUUCUUCUUUGCAAGAGAGUUGGCGGAUCGGUAAUGAGGGUUUUUGCCAUUUACCGUGGCUCCCUCGAAAUGCAUUAGCGCAUCCAUUCAAUAGGCAAGACGGACGAAAGCUUGAAUUUCGCCCUCUCUUUCCUGCCGGGUUUUGAUAAUAUCAGGGCUUCGGAGGCAGAGAGAUGGGUUAGAGCUGGACGCAACGUUUUGCUGGUUGGAGUGCUUCUGAAACCCGCCCAUGCCCUUGCAAAAGGGAAGGGAUUUUAUUUCAAUUCAUCGGCCUCAGAUUGGUAGGACUACCCGCUGAACUUAAGCAUAUCAAUAAGCGGAGGA